rnacentral:rRNA from 1 species
GUUUAUGGCCGCACCAACUUGUGUGGCUAGUCUUCUCUUCUCUUAGAAACUAAGCAGGUUAGGGCAUGUUUAAUAGGUGGAUGGAAGACUGCCUGAGAAUACCAUCUGCUGUAAGCC